CGCGCAGUCCCGGCUGACUGGCGCCUCCGUCUCGCGCCGCUUCGCGCGAUCCUCAACCAGGUAAGCUACUAUCUUACCAUGAAAUUUUAUUCAAGAUUAUGAUAGAAUUUUACAUUAGCCUAAUAAAAAUAGUAUCGAUCGGAAGUUCACGAUUAGUGUAGAAAAUUUUAUCAAAGAACUAUAUCUCUAUCGGUAAUAGUUACGUAGUUAGAGUAGUUCGAAGUUUUUUUAUUUUUCGUGACGUCACUUCGGCGAUGGUUGCUGCUCUCCCAAUCGCGUCUGAUCGCAAUGGCUUUCCCGUUUUGUCGCUAGGAUCGCUGCAUCGCCAGGACGGCUCGCGGUCAAACUGUCGCGCAUUCGGAAAGUCUUCAACUUCAGUCUUUCAGAUAAGAUUUCGGUCACGUGAUCGUCUUCUCCGUCGCAUCUCGAAUCGAAUAGCGAAAUAUUUAUUUGAAACGUCGUUGUCGUGUCGUCAUAUUUCAAAUCCAAUAGCACCACACUUA
rnacentral:lncRNA from 1 species